GCAGGGAUCACAGGAGUCUUGCCCAGAGAGCUUAGUGACACACGUGCCUGCCCCCCACAUCCGCCUCAGUAGGCUUGGGGAGCACACUUUGAGAGUGUCCCAUGGUUGAGAAUCACUGGUGAGAAGCUGCUAGUACACACUUGCCAUCCAUCAGAGUUCCUCUUUCUUUUUUUUCCUUUUUUUUUUUAUUAUGAUACUUUAAGUUCUAGGGUACAUGUGCACAACGUGCAGGUUGUUACAUAGGUAUACGUGUGCCAUGUUGGUUUGCUGCACCCAUCAACUUGUCAUUUACAUUAGGUAUUUGUCCUAGUGCUAUCCCUUCCCCAGCCGCCCAGUCCCUGACAGGCCCUGGUGUGUGAUGUUGCCCGCCCUGUGUCCAUGUGUUCUCAUUGUUCAACUCCCACCUAUGAGUGAGAACAUGCGGUGUUUGGUUUUCUGUCCUUGUGAUACUUUGCUUAGAGUGAUAGUUUUCAGCUUCAUCCAUGUCCCUGCAAAGGACAUGAACUCAUCCUUUUUUAUGGCUGCAUAGUAUUCCAUGGUGUAUAUGUGCCACAUUUUCUUAAUCCAGUCUAUCAUUGAUGGGCAU
rnacentral:lncRNA from 10 species